AUGUGGAGGCCAUCAAAGCAUUUAAUUGGAACGCGUUUACUUUACGCGUUUGCGUUGAAGGCUUCACAAAGACCUUAUCAGAUCUUACAAAAUUUACUUGGCCGAUCGGAAACCUUGCCCUCCUACAGUACUUGUUUUGGGAGAAAGUGCAGCCACUGGAUGAUGAGGCAUUUGAUCCAUUGGCUCAUGAAUAUCCGUUGA
rnacentral:rRNA from 1 species